AAAGACUUAAGAAAACCGCACCUCGAGCCUUUCUGACCUGGCUCACUGGUUCAUUUACUAAACACUCACCGAGUUCCUACUAGACACGAUGCUGAUUCCACGCUAGGCACUGGGCUCAGUUAAUUCUCACUCCUCAUUCUUGGGAAGCACGACUGGGAAAUGUUCCCAGGACCCUCUUUGGGCACUCAGCCUGCUGUGUGGCCGGGUUUGGACGUGACCAGGGUUCCAGGGGAAGGCGCCUUCUGCCUCGUCCACUUCUGUGUCAUCAGCACGUUCUGCUGUGCCUGUGACACAGCGUGCAGGUGCUCGGGGAAUGUUCAACGAGUUGACACAGGCAUCCAUCUGCUAAACCACCCCGAGGGCCGUGGGGAGCUGGAGACCAGCCUUUUUCACAGCGCCGGGACUGGCACCCAGAUCCAUCCAACAUCAUACCUCUCUUCACCAUAAUCAUCACCCUCCUGGCCUCGCAGGAGGGCCUUCGACUCCACGGAUGUCUUCAGAAGACCACGCUGAUCUCUGCAGGUUUGCUGAGGCCUUCUGGUCUGUGGAGGGCGACCUGAGCCGCAGGGCACUUGGGCCCCUCAGGGCAGGCAGCUUCCUGUGCACUCCUCGGCUCAGAGCUGUAGCUGAUCCUUCAUGUGGCUAAGACGUGUGAUUCACUGAACGUCUGCAGUCACCUGCAGGCACAGCUCUGCCUCCACCAUCUAGUAGGGAAGAAAGACAUUAAACAUGUCACUUCCGCAAAGUGUUGCGUUUACCCACCUGGGAAUGAGCCCCAUGCUCCGGGGGCCUCUGAAGCACCCAACCCUCUCAACAGGCUUCUGAUCAACCACCUGAAGUCCAGCACCGCAGGCUGGAGGGGAGGAUGGAUGGCAGGCCUGUUCCCCCGCGGGGAGCCCCCCUUUACCCGUCUACAGGCCUCAGGAGUGGUGAAACUUUACCUCCAGCGUGUUGUUUGGGAAAAACCCCUCAGUUGGCCCGAUCGGGAGGCUACUAAAUUCCUAGACACAGAGCUGAGAGGCCAGAAAGUGGCCUGUUGUGUCGGCAAGAUGCAAACGCUGAGGCCUGGGGAGCCUUCUCCCUCCUGCCUUGGUGUCCACAGGCCCUGAGUGGGGGCCCAGGCUGCGCCCCCUCUGCAGGAAAAACAAACCCCAGGCUCGGGGAGCUGACGUAAACAUCCUGAGGAAAUAACUGCUGUAAGGCUGGCGAGCCUCAUCUCCCCAAGGAAGUAAUCAGCACCUCUUCCCCUGACAGCUCCAGGUGAGCGGGCGGGGCGGGGACGGGCGUGCGCCUGGCGCUCCCGUAACUGUCCGCUGACGACCAAGCGCGCUCCCGUCCAUUGUCACAGUGGAGCCCCUGAACCCAGGGGCCGGGCGGGGCGGGGAUGGCUCCCCAGGAAAGGAAGCCGAGGCUCCGGCGCUCGCUCGCUCUUCCCGGACCACGCGGGGAGCACCCGGGAGGCCCCUGCCUUCCAGCCCCGGGCUCGCCCCCGGCACCGCGAGGACCCGGAGGAAGCCCUCCGCGCGCGCGGCCGCACGGCCUCAUUGUCCCCGCCAGGCGCCCCGCCGCCCGGACCCUGGCCGUCUCGACGCCCGCCGCCCCGGCCGCUGUGCGGAACGGCCCCCGAACAAAGGAGCGGAGCGCGCGGGCCCGAGGGGCGUCCGCCCGGCUGGCGGAGGAGGGAACCCGCGAAGGGGACGGGGCGGCGCACGGGGGCAGCGUCCCGCCCGGCCGCUUUCUGAGCCUCCUUCCUGACCGAGCGCGGAAGCGCCCCUGGUGCCCCAGGAGGUGGCGCGCCCGCCGCGCCCGGCCGGCCCGUGCGCCUCCCAGGGAACCCGGAGCACGGGCCCCCGUGCGCUCCCCCCAGCCGC
rnacentral:lncRNA from 1 species